rnacentral:rRNA from 1 species
UAACCUGCCCAAGAGAUCGGGAUAACACCUGGAAACAGAUGCUAAUACCGGAUAACAACAGAUGAUGCCUAUCAACUGUUUAAAAGAUGGUUCUGCUAUCACUCUUGGAUGGACCUGCGGUGCAUUAGCUAGUUGGUAGGGUAACGGCCUACCAAGGCGAUGAUGCAUAGCCGAGUUGAGAGACUGAUCGGCCACAUUGGGACUGAGACACGGCCCAAACUCCUACGGGAGGCAGCAGAAA